rnacentral:rRNA from 2 species
UGGAUCCAGACUUUGAUCCUGGCUCAGGACGAACGCUGGCGGCGCGCUUAACACAUGCAAGUCGAACGAGAAGAGAUGAGAAGCUUGCUUCAUAUUGAUUCGAGUGGCAAACGGGUGAGUAACGCGUAAGCAACCUGCCCUCUAGAUGGGGACAACAGCUGGAAACGGCUGCUAAUACCGAAUACGUUCUUUCUGUCGCAUGGCAGAGAGAAGAAAGGGAGGCUCUUCGGAGCUUUCGCUGGAGGAGGGGCUCGCGUCUGAUUAGCUAGUUGGAGGGGUAACGGCCCACCAAGGCGACGAUCAGUAGCCGGUCUGAGAGGAUGAACGGCCACAUUGGGACUGAGACACGGCCCAGACUCCUACGGGAGGCAGCAGUGGGGAAUCUUCCGCAAUGGACGAAAGUCUGACGGAGCAACGCCGCGUGAACGAUGACGGCCUUCGGGUUGUAAAGUUCUGUUAUACGGGACGAAUGGUACGACGGUCAAUACCCGUCGUAAGUGACGGUACCGUAAGAGAAAGCCACGGCUAACUACGUGCCAGCAGCCGCGGUAAUACGUAGGUGGCAAGCGUUGUCCGGAAUUAUUGGGCGUAAAGGGCGCGCAGGCGGCGUCGUAAGUCGGUCUUAAAAGUGCGGGGCUUAACCCCGUGAGGGGACCGAAACUGCGAUGCUAGAGUAUCGGAGAGGAAAGCGGAAUUCCUAGUGUAGCGGUGAAAUGCGUAGAUAUUAGGAGGAACACCAGUGGCGAAAGCGGCUUUCUGGACGACAACUGACGCUGAGGCGCGAAAGCCAGGGGAGCAAACGGGAUUAGAUACCCCGGUACUCCUGGCCGUAAACGAUGGAUACUAGGUGUAGGAGGUAUCGACCCCUUCUGUGCCGGAGUUAACGCAAUAAGUAUCCCGCCUGGGGAGUACGGCCGCAAGGCUGCAACUCAAAGGAAUUGACGGA